rnacentral:tRNA from 1 species
UGCCUCCGUAGUUUAACUGGAUAAAGCGCCUGCCUUCGGAGCAGGAAACUGAAGGUUCAAAUCCUUCCGGAGGCAA